rnacentral:rRNA from 1 species
UACGGGGGGAGCAAGCGUUGUUCGGAUUUACUGGGCGUAAAGGGCGCGUAGGCGGCCACCGCAAGUCGACUGUGAAAUCUCCGGGCUUAACCCGGAAAGGUCAGCCGAUACUGCGGGGCUAGAGUGCAGAAGGGGGCAACUGGAAUUCUCGGUGUAGCGGUGAAAUGCGUAGAUAUCGAGAGGAACACCUGCGGCGAAGGCGGGUUGCUGGGCUGACACUGACGCUGAUGCGCGAAAAGCUAGGGGGAGCGAACGGGG